rfam:Hyalangium minutum strain DSM 14724 contig_10, whole genome shotgun sequence.
CAGCGGGAGGAAGUCCCGCCCGAGGAGGAAGUCGACCCCCUCGGUAGCUAUCUGGCGGGGACGAGAGGCGACUCUGGGACUCGAAGCCCAGAGACAGAAGGCCUCGAAAGGAGGUCGAGCGAGUUCGCAGGCCGCAACGUGA